UACGUAGGGGGCAAGCGUUGUCCGGAUUUAUUGGGCGUAAAGAGCGUGUAGGCGGUUAGGUAGGUCCGUUGUGAAAACUCGAGGCUCAACCUCGAGACGCCGAUGGAAACCAUCUGACUAGAGUCCGGAAGAGGAGAGUGGAAUUCCUGGUGUAGCGGUGAAAUGCGCAGAUAUCAGGAGGAACACCGAUGGCGAAGGCAGGUCUCUGGGCCGAUACUGACGCUGAGGAGCGAAAGCGUGGGGAGCGAACAGG
rnacentral:rRNA from 1 species